UACAGAGGUCCCAAGCGUUGUUCGGAUUCAUUGGGCGUAAAGGGUGCGUAGGCGGCGAGGUAAGUCGGAUGUGAAAUCCCGGGGCUCAACCCUGGAACUGCAUUCGAUACUGCCUUGCUCGAGGACUCGAGAGGAGAUUGGAAUUCACGGUGUAGCAGUGAAAUGCGUAGAUAUCGUGAGGAAGACCAGUGGCGAAGGCGGAUCGUCUGGAGAGUUCCUGACGCUGAGGCACGAAGGCCAGGGGAGCAAACGGG
rnacentral:rRNA from 1 species